rnacentral:rRNA from 1 species
GUGAAAUUCCGUCGGAAUCUGGGAGGACCAUCUCCUAAGGCUAAAUACUCUCUAGUGACCGAUAGUGAACCAGUACCGUGAGGGAAAGGUGAAAAGCACCCCGGAAGGGGAGUGAAAUAGAACCUGAAACCGUGUGCUUACAAGUAGUCAGAGCCCGUUAAUGGGUGAUGGCGUGCCUUUUGUAGAAUGAACCGGCGAGUUACGAUUUGAUGCAAGGUUAAGCAGUAAAUGUGGAGCCGUAGCGAAAGCGAGUCU